GGGCGGAGAGUGGAUAACAGAUCGAAAGGUUUGCUAAUACCGCAUGUGCACCCGGAGAUUAGAAACCGGGUUGAAAAAGAGAAAUCUGCUUUUGGAGGGGCAUGCGCCCAUCAGAUAGUUUGCGGGGUAAGGUAAAGGCUUACCAAGGCGAUGACGGGUAGGGACCUGAGAGGGUGACCCCCCACAAUGGAAUUGAAACACGGUCCAUACACCUACGGGUGGCAGCAGUAGGGAAUAUUGCUUAUAAAAGGGCGAAAGCUUGAAGCAGCAACGCCGCGUGUGCGAUGAAGGCCUUCGGGUUGUAAAGCACUUUUUGUUGGGAAGAGGAAGGACGGUACCAGCAGAAUAAGCCUCGGCUAACUACGUGCCAGCAGCCGCGGUAAAAGUAACGUAGGAGGCGAGCGUUAUCCGGGAUAUUUACUGGGUGUAAAGCGUGUGCAGGCGGUUUGUUAAGAUGGGUGUGAAAGCUCCUGGCUCAACUGGGAGAGGUCGCCCAUCGUGACUGGCAGAUAGAGAGCAGUCCGAGGGGAAGGUGAAUUCCGGGUGUAGUGGGGUGAAAUGCGUAGAUAUCCGGAGGAACACCAGUGCGAAGGCGGCCUUCUAGGCUGUAUACCGCUGACGCUCAGACACGAAAGCUAGGGUAGCAAACGGGAUUAGAGACCCGGUAGUCCUAGCCGUAAACGAUGUGAACUUGGCGCUGGGAGGGUAAAACCUAUCAGUGCCGAAGCAAACGCGAUAAGUUCACACUUGGGGACUACGGCCGCAAGGUUAAAACUCAAAGGAAUUGACGGGGGCCCGCACAAGCAGCGGAGCGUGCUUUGGUUUAAUUCGAUGCUACACGAAGAACCUUACCAGGGCUUGACAAGCUUGCAUGUGGUAGCGAAGCGAAAGCGGAGCGACCCUUCGGGGAGCAUGCACAGGUGCUGCAUGGCUGUCGUCAGCUCGUGUCGUGAGAUUUCGGUUAAGUCAGCCGCUAACGAGCGCAGUCACCCUCGCCGUGUGUUAUACGUGUCCGCGGGAAUACCUGCCAGUCUUAAGCUGGAGGAAGGUGGGGAUGACGUCAAGUCAGCAUGGCCUUUAUGUCAUGGGCUACACACACGCUACAAUGGCCAGUACAAUGGGUAGCGAAGCCGCGAGGCGAAGCCAAUCCUCCAAAGCUGGUCUCAGUUCAGAUUGCAGGCUGCAACC
rnacentral:rRNA from 1 species